rnacentral:misc_RNA from 1 species
GAAAUGCGAUAAGUAGUGUGAAUUGCAGAAUUCAGUGAAUCAUCGAAUCUUUGAACGCACAUUGCGCCCCUCGGCAUUCCGUGGGGCAUGCCUGUUCGAGCGUCAUCUACACCCUCAAGCUCUGCUUGGUGUUGGGCGUCUGUCCCGCCUCCGCGCGCGGACUCGCCCCAAAUGCAUUGGCAGCGGUUCCUUGCCCCCCUCUUUGCGCAGCACAUUGCCAUUCGAGGCGGCGGCGGCCCGCGUCCAACAAGCUCAACCCCCCCGUCUUUGACCUCGGAUCAGGUAGGGAUACGCGCUGAACUUAGGC